UACCUCAACUCUUAGUUUUGUUUUGUUUUAUGGCACUUAAGCAAAGAACAGGAGAAAAAAAAGGCAUAGAUGUACAACUCAGAAUUAUUCUGUGUUUCACCGCCAUAAGAAUGUCAACCCCACAACUCCACAACAGACUCUGUCUGUUGUUCAUGGUUGUAUCCCUGAUGCCCAGAACACAGCCUGGAACACAGUAAGUAUCCAAUGAAUCGUUGUUUAUUUAAUAAACACAUAUUUUAUAUAUGCCAGGUGAUUCACAAGCAACAUACAUUAGUGUUACAGUAAAGAAAACACAUUAUUUAAAAGUAUGUAUCAAUCAAUUAAAAAAAGAAUGUCUUAGCUAAUAAACAUUCAUUGACUACCUACUAUGCGUUCACAUUACUGUUUUUCUUUGCCUUCAGGAGACCUUGCACAGUCAAUAUUCAUAAGAAAUAUUCAAUUAAUGCCUCACAAACAUUCCUGACCAUACAAACUGUACAAACGCCACCACAAUUACCACAUACUUUGAGGAUGAUAUAUAAAAACAAUAGAAUAACUACUCAUCUUUAAGAAAUCAAUUAUUCCAAUGAGCCUAUCAUACAAUCCCCAAGAGUCUGGAGUGUAUUUCCCGGGGAGACAAUGAAACUGAAUUGCAACCGUGGUGCAGAGGAGAACCCAAAGUUGUUUUGCAUAAGUUGUCAUGGGCCAUUAUGAUGCUGGCAACUUCUAUGAAUAAACAAGUCAGCAUUUGUGAAAGUUUCCAACACAAUGCAUGGCACCCAAUAUGCCCCAUUUCGCUAACCUCCACUGAGCCCCAAGCUCUGAAGAUCAAAGUCAAAGCACGAAAUGAACGUGAGAGAGCUGGAAAGCUAACUACAAAGCCUCUAAAAGUUACGUAACAUGAAGAAACACACUCGAUUCUGCCUCUCCCAUUGAAUAGAGCAAUAAAACAUGGACACAACACACAAAGCAGCUAUUUGAGGACUCUGAGAAGGAAAUGGCAGCACACAGAUUGGGGGAGAAGACCAGAAUUUGAAAUGCUGCUGAACCACAGGUGGGUUUUUCAAUCUUCUUUCCUCUAGUAUAUCUUGGCCUGAACUUAAACACCAGACCUGGUAGUGGGCAACAGUGCAGAGACAGAUGAGAAAACUGUAGGAGAAGCCAUGAGGACCUGAGAAGGGAACUCCUACCUCCAAAAGAAACUAUAGAAAUCCCCAUUUGGUUUUCUCUUUUUUCUAUUUUUUAGCUGACACAUAAAAAGCUGUACAUUUCAGUGUAAACAUCUUAAUGAGUUUGGGGAAAGUAAACACCCAUGAAACCAUCACCACCAUCAAGGCCAUCAACAUAUUUAUGACCUCCUCAAAUUUUCUACUCUCCUUUGUUAUUAUUACUAAGAUUGUUUUUUCAUAAAAAUCAAUUUUGCGAGGGUGGCAGAAGAGCUCCAAUAACAGGCACUCACAGAAGCCAAAACUCUAUGGGAGAGAAAUUUCUGUUUUCUGGACUUGUGAUCCCAAGAGAUUGAGGGAAAACCUCCAUUUUUCUCUCUGUAUCCCCACCACUGGCAACCAACCCACCAGAGUGGGAUAAUCGAUUUCUAGUUUUGUAAUCAGAAGGCCAAAAAGAGGAACUUCCAGGAAACAGAAAAUAUUAAAGGCAUGAAAUAAAGUAGAACUCAAGAAAACAAACCCAUAAAUGUGUUUAUGAACAUUUGGGCUCAUUCUCUUACAGUGCAUGUACAGAUCUGAUCCUACUCAGCCUACUACAUAGAUACAUUGUUCAAUGAACAAACUACCUUCCAGGAUCCAGACUGGCCACUAGAUGGAGCACAUGCAGGGCAGAUCCAAAUAGCACUGAAAAGUGUUUGAAAACUGGACAAAUGUUGGAAUCAUAACCCAUAGAAUGUCAGGUAGAACUUGGGGCCUGGCCUCAGACAGCCCAACUGACUGCUAAAAGAAAAAUAUCAACAUCCUUCACAGGAUUUUAGAAAGACCCAGAGUCUAUUAUCACUACAUUUAAAAUGUUCAGGAUACAAUCUAAAAUUACUCCAACAAAUGAAAAAUCAAGAAAGGCUAAACUCAAAUGGUAAGAGAUAAUCAAUGGACAUCAACACAAAUAUAAUACAAAUGUUGAAAUUAUCUGAGAAAGCCUUUAAAAUAUAGUAUAAAAAUACAGUUGGUUGAGCAAGCAACUCUAAAUGCUUUUGAAACCAAAGGAAAGAGAGAAAGUCUCAGCAAAGACAUAGAGGAUAUACAGAAGAAUCAAGUCAGUAUCUUAGAACUGAAAAGCACAACUGCGAUUUAAAAAAAAAAAAAACCCUCACUGAAUGGGCUUAAUAGAAUGAAGAUAACAGAAGAAAGAGUCAGUGAACUUGAAGAUAGAGCAAAAAAACUUACCCAAUCUAAAAAGAAAGAAAAAGAUUGAAAAACUUUAAUAGAGCCUCAUGGAUCUACGUGAUAAUAAAUGUUUUAACAUUCAUGUGACUGAAAUCCCGGAAAUAGAAAGAAUACAGUACUGAAAAAAUAUUUGAAGAUUACAAGUUGAAAACUUCCCAAAUUUGGUGAAAGACAUAAACCUACAGAUUCAAGAAGCUGAGUAAUUCCCAAACAGGACAAACCAAAAUAAAUCCACACCAAGACACAUCUUACUCAGUUAAAAACUAAGGAAAAAGAAUAAAGUCAUUAUCCAUAGAGACACAGCAAUUGAAAUUACUGCAGAUUUGUCACUAGAAACUGAUAGUUACAGGAGGCAGCUCAAUGCCUAGGCAGAAAGGGGCAGAUCCCUGUUGAAACCCCACCUCCAAGGCAAAGACAAUUUAAAGCCUGAAAGCCAAGCUACAGGUUAAAUCCUCAGACCAGAUUGAGAACUUGUCUUCCCAUUUGGCAUACUUUCCUCUGGUCGAUCCCCACCCUUUACCUAUUUUACGUUUUCCUACCCUUUCCUAAUUGGUUUUCUACACUGUUGUGCCCACCUUUGAGUGGUGUCUUCAUUUUAAUCUUUUGCAUACAAACCACUCAGCAUGCACUCCCCAUUCUGAGUCCAUAAAAAGCCCUUGACCCAGCACUUUGGCAGGCCAAGGUGGGUGGAUCACUUGAGGUCAGGAAUUCAAGACCAGGUUGGCCAACAUGGCAAAACCCCAUCUCUACUAAAAAUAUAAAAAUAUUAGUCGGGCGUGAUGGUACACACCUGUAGUCCCAGCUGCUCCAGAGGCUGAGGCAGGAGAAUUGCUUAAACCUGGGAAGCAGAGGUUGCUGUGAGCCAAGAUGGCACCACUGUACUCCAGCCUGGAUGACAGAGCAAGGCCCUGUCGAAAAAUAAUAAUAAUAAUAAUAAGCCUCUGACCCAGAAACACAGAGAGGGAGGAAUCACCUGACUGCAGGGGUGGGGAACAACCACCCCCCUCCCCCACAAACUCCUCUCUCUCAUGAGAGCCAUUUCAUUGCUCAAUAAAAUCUUACAUUCUCAUCACCUUUUAAUCAUCAACAUGACCUCAUUCUUCUUGGACUCUGGACUAGAGCUUGGGACACACUGAGCUCAGGUACUCUGAAAGGCUGUAGCACUGGCCCUUUGGCCUCGCUGGUGGAGGGCAGCACCUCAUAUAACAGGGCAAGGGGCUGACCGAGCUGUUAACACACUGCUGUCCAUCAGGCUGUGGACAGUGGAACUAAAAGAGCUAAAGAGCACACUAACGCUGCUGCUUUGGGGUCACCGGCACCUCUGCCUGGGCACCGCCAUGUUCCCCUGGAGGUAACACAUCUGAUCUGGCCGUGGGCUGACAAGGAAUUUGCUCCUGUGUUGGCACUCAGAGUGGCUGGAUGAAUCCUGUACUCAUGAGCUCAUGUGCUCCCUCCCGCAAGGGGCUGAGCGUGAUGGGUCGAGUUGAUGGGAUGUCCCUGCUGUGAGCCCAACAAAGGGGCCGAGAAAAAUCCUGUUUCAAAACUAUGGGCCCAGAGGGUAGUUGCACACUAUUCUUAAAGUGUUGAAAUGAAAGAACUGUCAACACAAACUCUACAUCCAGAAAAAAUAUCCUUCAGAAAUAAAGUUGAAAUAAGGACAUGCUCAGAUGAAGAAAAACUAAGAAAAAUCGUUUACAACAGAUCUGCCCUCACCAAAUUGCUAAAGCAAGCUCCUCAAGAGGAAGGAAAAUGAUACCAGAUAGAAAUUUUAAACAUCAGCAAUAAAGAGCAAAUGAAAGAGUAAAUAGACCAUUCUUCGCUUGAGAAAAAAGAUGGAAAGCAAAAAUUAAACACCGUUUACUGGGGUUUUCAAUAUACAUAGAUGUACUGGAUGAAAAAUUAUAACCUAAAGGGAAGUAAAGAGAUGCUUAUAGGAGUGUUGAUAUUCCACUGGAAAUGGUAAAAUGUUGAAUUUCAGUAGACAGUUAAAAAGCUAAAUAUG
rnacentral:lncRNA from 1 species